AUGGUUCAAGGGAAACCAAGAGACUGGUGGUGGGUAGAUGAGAUCUCUGAACUCACUGUCAUAGAGGCUUCUGGGGAGUCCAUGAAGCCACAGGCUGUGUUCCCUGGUGUCAUGGGAACCCUGGGGGGAGAUAAUAAUGAUACGAUGUGUGUGUGUGUGUGUGUGUGUGUGUGUGUACACGCACACAUGAAAAUGUCACCCCCAACCCACCCUGUCCCCAGUGUCAGGCAAGAUGAAGCACAUCCUGUCCCAUUCCAAAUGACUCUCUUGGCCAGGGGUCAGCCAAUGUUUUCUGGGAAGUAGAUAUUUUAGACUUUGUGGGCCAAGAGGCACAUCGAAGACAUGAUGUAGGUACUUACAUAAUAAGAGAAAAACACAUUGCACAAUUAUUUAAUUGAUAAAAUUCAAAAUAUAAUAAUCGAGUGCAGUUUUUGUAAUACAGGUCUAAUAACGACAAGAAUGGACUUCUUUCGGUGGAUGGUCACAUUCUGUGUAAUUAGAGUUCAAGGUUCGUGUUCUUUUUUUUUUUUUUUUAAGAUUUUAUUUAUUUAUUCGACAGAGAUAGAGACAGCCAGCGAGAGACGGAACACAAGCAGGGGGAGUGGGAGAGGAAGAAGCAGGCUCAUAGCGGAGGAGCCUGAUGUGGGGCUCGAUCCCAUAACGCCAGGAUCACGCCCUGAGCCGAAGGCAGACGCUUAACCGCUGUGCCACCCAGGCGCCCCAAGGUUCGUGUUCUUUAUCAUCAGACUGAUGGCAAACGUUUCUUUGUAAAAAUUAGUCUUCACCCCCAUCGCCCGCACCCCCCACCCGGGGCUGGGUUUGGCCGACAUGCUGCAGUAUGCUGACCCCGGUGCUUAGUCAGACCUUCAGAGGCACUCUGAGAGCCCCAAAGCCAGUUCACCCAUCAGACCAGAUCACGAAAGUACCAUCUCCUGCCUCGUGAAUGCUCGUGCUGUCUUGGAAGCGCGUGGAACACAGAGGAAGCGAUGCAAAUGCUAUUUCACUGCAUUAUAUAACAAAAGAUGAGUUUGGGCAGUCCUACACCGAAUUCAAAUGUGUGCUAAAAUUUAUAAAAACGCACCAGAGUUUUCCAAGUCGAAGACAAAAUGUCCCUGUUUCUCUCUCUCCUUUUCCCCUGAUCCUGCUCUCCAGAACAAACCAAUGUUCACAUUCUGGUUCUGCUGAUGGUAAAGCUGCCGAGUUCAGGAAGUUGGCCAGUUUCUUUCCUCCGAGUGUGCCCACUGACAGAGGCUGCCCUCCCCGGCGCUGCAGGUGACCGAGCGAGAAAUUAGGACGGCGACAGAGCCCGGUAAGCCACUUCUAUUCUCUUAACAAAGCUUUCCUACAAAAUACGUGAUUUCUCACUGACUCCGAAAUAUGGUUUGGUGGCGAAUGGUGUCACCACGGAAAGGGAUGAAUGGGGCCAGUAAGGAUCAAAAGGUUAAGUAUUGAAGCAAAAAAAGUAUUGUUGAAAAUCAAAUGCAGUGGUCUUACGAAUUCGAACAGGAGAACGAGCAAAUUCCAACUUAGGAGCUGACCAUUGCUCUCUGGUCCUGCCAGAAACCAUAUUCUCUUCUAGAACCAAAGGAUUGGAAGUGAAGUGGGCGGCGGAAGUGUUUGUCCUACCUCUACAAAAACAGGACAAAUUCUCAUCUCACAUGCUCCAGUCACUCGCUGGGGCCUAGGGAAAGCCUGAAAUGAAUAUACUCCUAGGAGUGUUCAAUAUUAGUUGCUGCUUUUCUUAUUAGGGAUUUUUAAGUGAACAUGUCACGAUUUCACACUAUAGGAUACAAUCAUAGAAAUGGUGACAUGUAGGACUGCAGGUGAUCAGUGUUGGCUACUGUCAAGAACUGUCAGAUUGAAAAACAAACUUCACAAUUUUAAGAAGUGCUGUGUUUUCUAAAACAGUCAGUGAGAUUUGAGAGCAGUUGAAAAGUCUGAUUUCAAGAGAAUCUCAUCUAAAAUUUACCUUGUUUUCAUGCUCAUUCAGUGCUCAGUCAAGUUCUUGAAGUAAUUUAUUUUUAUAGCCAUUUAUUUAGUGUACAUUUAAGUUUUUGAAAUGGAUUUUCUUUUUUUUUUUUUUAAGAUUUUAUUUAUUUAUUUAACAGAGAUAGAGACAGGCAGCGAGAGAGGGAACACAAUCAGGGGGAGUGGGAGAGGAAGAAGCAGGCUCACAGCAGAGGAGCCUGAUGUGGGGCUCGAUCCCGUAACGCCGGAUCACGCCCUGAGCCGAAGGCAGACGCCUAACCGCUGUGCCACCCAGGCGCCCCAUCUUUUUUCUUUUUUUUUUCAAGUUUUUACUUUAUUUCCAGUUAGUUAACCAUACAGUGCAAUAUUAAUUUCAGGUGUACAUACAGUGACUCGACCCUUCCACACAGCACCCGGGGCCCCUUGCAGAUGCACUUCUUAAUCCCCCACCCUCCAGCCCUCGUCUGUUUCUUGGUUUGCCUCUCUCUCUGUCUCUCUCUUUCCUCACCCCCUUUGCUCAUCUGUU
ensembl:lncRNA